rnacentral:hammerhead_ribozyme from 1 species
ACACUGCUGAGGAAUCCCACAACAGGACGAAAUGGCCAUCCAGUGC